UUGCACCAUCACUACUUAAAGCAAAGCUCUACACGGUGCUGCGUUUUUCUCCAUUUGCAUUGGUGUGUGUGUUAGGAGCACGACUCCCGCUGACCUCGUCCAGUCUACUGUGAAACAGCAAGGUAAGGAUUCCCAUUGGCAAAGCAAAUCUCCAAGGAUGUGGGCAGGUUGGCCAGGGAAAACUGUGCAGAGAAUUCAGCGUAAUGAUACGGAAUCCAACAGUGUGGGGUUCACAAGACAGAGGAGUCCCUAGGAGAGGCCAGUGAGUCCCCAGAUAGAUAGCAGAGACCCCUUCCACUGAGGGACACAGCACUGGGAGCCGAGCUCUACGGAAAUGUCCAAAUCAAAACGCGUGACUCUCCAGAGAAUGCCCUGUUUUCCUGACCGCUUUUCCUUUAUUCACAUUUGAAGUCCUACAUGGAAACCUUCAGUAGACCGACAGAUAAAUCAGUCUUAAAGCUAGGUGUGAAUGUGUUCACUCCGAUAACGUGAAGGCCAAUUUGAACAUUCUGACAUUUCUAUUACCAAUGCCAAUCUAAAUGUGAAAAUUUGCCACAAUUGGAUAGGUACUGAAAUAUCAAAUAAUAAAAUAAGUAUUAUCAUUUCAAAAAUAUUUUAUCAAACAAGUAAAAAUAAACAUGAUCUUCACUUUGAAUUUGUUACAUAAACAUCCUCAUGGUCACAUCUUCUACUUCAUGUUUUGAUUUUAAUUCACCCUGGGGAUCAUACCGAUUUUAUUUGUACCAUAACUUUUCAUUUACCUGUAAUAUAAUUUAAACCUGAAAAGUCACUGAAAUUACCUUUCCAUCUGGAAUUAUAAAGCAUGAAACAAAUAACAAAUGAAUGUAUAAAAUAUAUCAUUGUGAGAGGACAGUGUGUGUACUUUUUCCUUCCCUCUAAAAGAACACUUAGUAUUUUGAUCCUGAACAAUUUUCACUGAGUUCAAGGUGCUACUGUGGUAUAUUGUCUUUCAAUGCAAUAUCAAAGAUCGGUGGCACACUAAAAGACAAAAAAAACAAAAAACAAAAAACAACAAAAAACAGAAAACAAAAAAACUGCAAAAGGGAAGGCUGCAUUGUGAGUUAAAACUCACAAGUUCAACAACUAUCUAAAAUAAAUUACUAUUCACAGUUUUACAUGGCAAACAGAAAUUUCUGCAGACCCCCUGCUAUUAAGUAGUAUUGGAGAGACAGUAAUUGGAUGAGGAUGGUACCAAAGGAGGAAAACCUGGGAAAUAAGGAGGCUUCUGUUAUUUUCUCAUUGGACCUCUUCAAUGAAUUCAACACAUAAAUGGAGCUAAUUGAAGCAAUAAUAAAAUAAAUCUCUUCAAUACUGUAUUUCCUUUUAAAUCUGUGCCAUAUCUAGGAAUACUUUUCCCUAACACUCCAACUAAGCUGAUGGUGGAAUGGUUAGCUUGAUAAUAUGAAAGAAUGCUUAUGUACAAUGGAUAGUGUGUGUAAACCCUGUGUAAAUAAUUUAUUUUUUAUCAGAAUCUUACGCAGUCAUUCAUAACACACUAGUGCAAAAAAUUGUGCAUCAAACAUUCUGCGACAGAACAGCUGAUUGGGAA
ensembl:lncRNA